GCGGGGGAUCGCAAGACCUCGUGCUCAUAGAGCGGCCGAUAUCUGAUUAGCUAGUUGGUGAGGUAAAGGCUCACCAAGGCUUCGAUCAGUAGCUGGUCUGAGAGGACGACCAGCCACACUGGGACUGAGACACGGCCCAGACUCCUACGGGAGGCAGCAGUGGGGAAUUUUGGACAAUGGGGGCAACCCUGAUCCAGCAAUGCCGCGUGAGUGAAGAAGGCCUUCGGGUUGUAAAGCUCUUUUGUCAGGGAAGAAACGGGAUGUCCUAAUACGAUGUCCUAAUGACGGUACCUGAAGAAUAAGCACCGGCUAACUACGUGCCAGCAGCCGCGGUAAUACGUAGGGUGCAAGCGUUAAUCGGAAUUACUGGGCGUAAAGCGUGCGCAGGCGGUUAUGUAAGACAGGUGUGAAAUCCCCGGGCUUAACCUGGGAAUGGCAUUUGUGACUGCAUAGCUAGAGUGUGUCAGAGGGGGGUAGAAUUCCACGUGUAGCAGUGAAAUGCGUAGAGAUGUGGAGGAAUACCGAUGGCGAAGGCAGCCCCCUGGGAUAACACUGACGCUCAUGCA
rnacentral:rRNA from 1 species